UACGGAGGGUGCAAACGUUGCUCGGAAUUAUUGGGCGUAAAGCGCACGUAGGCGGUUCGUUAUGUCGGAUGUGAAAGCCCUCGGCUUAACCGAGGAAGUGCAUCCGAAACUGGCGAGCUUGAGUACGGAAGAGGGUCUCGGAAUUCCCGGUGUAGAGGUGAAAUUCGUAGAUAUUCGGAAGAACACCAGUGGCGAAGGCGACUCACUGGACACAUAUUGACGCUGAGGUGCGAAAGCGUGGGGAGCAAACAGG
rnacentral:rRNA from 1 species